rnacentral:ncRNA from 1 species
UCCCAAAAACACACAGUUUUGGUCCUAAACUUGCCAUUGUUUUUUAUCAAAAUUAUACAUGCAAGCCUCCACACACCAGUGAGAAUGCCCACAAAUUCCCAAAAAGAAAACCGGAGCGGGCAUCAGGAUUCAGCACCAAGAGCCAAAGACGCCUUGCUAUAGCCACACCCACAAGGGCCUUCAGCAGUAAUUAACAUUAAGCAUAUGAGCGAAAGCUAGACUUAGUUAUGAUAAUUAUGGUCGGUAAAUUUCGUGCCAGCCACCGCGGUUAUACGAAAGACCAAAAACAAUGGCCCCCGGCGUAAAGCGUGACCCUGGGUUAACAAAACAUUAGGGGGGCACAACUACCCAGUUGUAAAACACCCACGUAAACUAGAACAACAACACCUGCCCCUAAGCCACAACACCCUGCCUCACGAAAGUUAAGAAACAAACUGGGAUUAGAUACCCCACUAUGCUUAACCCUAAACACAGAUAUUUUUAUACAACAAUAUCCGCCAGAGAACUACAAGCGAAAAGCUAGAAACUCCAAGGACUUGGCGGUGCUUUAAACCAACCUAGAGGAGCCUGUCCUAUAAUCGAUACCCCACGUUUAACCUUACCCACCCUAGCCAACCAGCCUAUAUACCGCCGUCGUCAGCCUACCUUAUGAAAGAAACAAAGUAGGCAAAAUAGUCAAUAACUAACACGUCAGGUCAAGGUGUAGCAAAUGGGUGGGCAGAGAUGGGCUACAUUUUCUAACAAGAACACACGAACAACACACUGAAACCCGUGUUUGAAGGUGGAUUUAGUAGUAAAGUAGAAAAGAAAAGCUAUCUUGAAAUCUGCUCUGAAGCGCGCACACACCGCCCGUCACCCUCAUCG